UACGAAGGGGGCUAGCGUUGCUCGGAAUCACUGGGCGUAAAGGGUGCGUAGGCGGGUUCUUAAGUCAGGGUGAAGUACUGGAGCUCAACUCCAGAACUGCCUUUGAUACUGAAGAUCUUGAGUUCGGGAGAGGUGAGUGGAACUGCGAGUGUAGAGGUGAAAUUCGUAGAUAUUCGCAAGAACACCAGUGGCGAAGGCGGCUCACUGGCCCGAUACUGACGCUGAGGCACGAAAGCGUGGGGAGCAAACA
rnacentral:rRNA from 1 species